GGCCCCGUGGUGAAUGAACCACAAUGAAUUGCAAAUUCGGCGAAGCAGUAUUAAUCCCUGCCGGCGCUU
rnacentral:tRNA from 1 species